GUGCUCACUUCGGCAGCAUAUAUACUAAAAUUGGAACGACACAGAGAAGAUUAGCAUGGCCCCUGUGCUAGGAUGACACACAAAUUCGUGAAGAGUUUAGGCUUUGC
rnacentral:snRNA from 1 species